CCUACGGGGGGCUGCAGUGCGGAAUUUUAGAUAAUGGAGGGAACUCUGAUCUAGCGACGCCGCGUGCAGGAAGAAGGUCUUCGGAUUGUAAACUGCUGUGGUAAGGGAAAAAUGCUAUGUAGAGUGGAAAGCUACAUAGAGGGAUGGUACCUUACUAGAAAGCCCCGGCUAACUACGUGCCAGCAGCCGCGGUAAUACGUAGGGGGCGAGCGUUACCCGGAAUCACUGGGCGUAAAGGGAGCGUAGGUGGCCUAACAUGUCAACUGUGAAAACCCGGAGCUCAACUCCGGACUUGCAGUUGAAACUGGUAGGCUUGAGGACGGUAGAGGAAGACGGAACUGCCAGUGUAGGGGUAAAAUCCUUAGAUAUUGGCAGGAACGCCGGUGACGAAGGUGGUUUUCUGGGCCGGUUCUGACACUGAUGCUCGAAAGCCAGGGGAGCGAACGGGCUUAGAUACCCCAGUAGUC
rnacentral:rRNA from 1 species